CGGUGCAACUUCAGCAGGGCAUGCCAAACGUAUGUCCGGAACAAGAAGUGGCGAUAGUGGCCCAUAAGCAGCCAUGUGUACAAGCCUUUACCCGUUUUGUGAAAACGUGGAAACAGGAUUGCGGGGCCCAGAGGUGGUGUGUGAACCACGAGAGAAGAACUGGCUACUAUACCAUCUAUAAGCAAGUGUACAGCAUCGAACAUCAUACUGUGUUUAAGUGUUGUCCUGGCUGGAGCAGGAAAAAGGAUGAUGAACCCGGAUGCCUAUAUGG